rnacentral:rRNA from 1 species
GACGAACGCUGGCGGCGUGCUUAACACAUGCAAGUCGAACGAAAACUCCCUGCUUUGUUGCGGUGCUCGACUUACCAACGGGGGAGUUACACGUGAGUAACCUACACUUGACUUUGGGAUAUCUUCAUGAAACUGGGUCUAAUACGGCCUAGGAGCUCCUGCUGCAUGGUGGGCGUUGGAAAGUUUCGUCGGUUGGUGAUGGACUCGCGUUGGAUUAGCUAGUUGGUAGGGUAGUAGCCUAGCAAGGAGAGGACGCCUAGCUGGGCGGAGAGGAUGACCAGCCACACUGGAGCUGAGACACGGCCUAGACUCCUACGGGAGGCAGCAGUGGGGAAUAUUGGACAAGGGGCGAAGGCCUGAUCCAGCAAUGCCGCGUGAGUGAUGAAGGCCUUAGGGUUGUAAAGCUCUUUUACCCGGGAUGAUAAUGACAGUACCGGGAGAAUAAGCACCGGCUAACUCCGUG